UCCAGGGUAGCCUAGUGGACAUGGCAUCUGCCCGGUAAGCGGAACACUGUGGGUUCAAUUCCCAUCCCCAGAU
rnacentral:tRNA from 1 species